AGAGAUGUGUGAUGACGCAUAUCAAUAAGCGGAGGAAAAGGAACUAACAAGGAUUCCCUUAGUAACGGCGAGUGAAGCGGGAAGAGCUCAAAUUUGAAAUCUUCAAGGUUCUACCUUGACGAAUUGUAGUUUAUAGAAGUGUUUUCUGUUAGUAGAGUGGCAAAAGUUCUUUGGAAUAGGACAUCAUAGAGGGUGAGAAUCCCGCAUUUGGUCAUUCUUUCUAGCUUUGUGAUACACUUUCAACGAGUCGGAUUGUUUGGGAAUGCAGUCCAAAAUGGGUGGUAAAUUUCAUCUAAAGCUAAAUAUUGGCGAGAGACCGAUAGCGAACAAGUACCGUGAGGGAAAGAUGAAAAGAACUUUGAAAAGAGAGUUAAACAGUACGUGAAAUUGUCAAAAGGGAAGCGUUUGACACCAGUGUUGUUUUUCCGAAAAUCAAUUACGAAUGUUUUGUUUUUGAGAAGUUAUGACUUCAUCGGCUUGCUUCUCUCUUUACGAAACUUCCUUAAUGCACUUUUCGGUUAACAAGUCAACAUCAAUUUCUUUUGUUGUAAAAGGGUAUGAGGAAGGUGGCUUUCUUUUCGGAGAAAGUGUUUAUAGCCUUGUACCUCUGCAAUCGGAGAGAUUGAGGUCUGCAGCGUAGAUCCUUCGGGGUUAGAUACAUUUGUGCUAAGUUAUAGCUUUUCAUAGACAACUUGUUGACUAUGUUAAGUCUUGUAGCUUACUCGCUUAUGCUAUUUUACCUACGCUUAGGAUGUUGAUCUGUAGUGCGUGCGC
rnacentral:rRNA from 1 species